CACUUGCAGGUGAGCAGGUACCUCCUUCAGGUGUCUGGACUCAGCUGAGGGUGCGCGUGCCCCGCGGUGGGGGCUGAGCCUCCCUGGGGUGUGGGGGGACGGAGGGAUCCCAGAUCCAGGUCGCCUCGUUCCCGCUUUGAGACUCGGUGCCCCGCUGUCUCGUGAGGCAGACAGAUGUGGGACCCUCCUGGCCCCAGUGAGUGCGGUGUCCUGCUCCAGGGUGUCCUGGAGCUACUUUCCAAGUAAAGACAGGGCGCGGGAGGAUAGGACAGCUCUUCAUGCGGGUGACUGAGCUCAUAUCAAGUGUCUAAAGGAAGGAAGUUCUGAGGAUCUGGGUCGUGGUGGCCGCUGAAGUUUCUCCUCCAGAUUUGAAGGGAAGGAGUCCUCAUGAGACCCCCAACACUUCCACCCUUGGUCGGCUAUAACUCCUU